rnacentral:rRNA from 1 species
GAUGAACGCUGGCGGCGUGCCUAAUACAUGCAAGUCGAACGAAACUUCUUUAUCACCGAGUGCUUGCACUCACCGAUAAAGAGUUGAGUGGCGAACGGGUGAGUAACGCGUGGGCAACCUGCCCAAAAGAGGGGGAUAACACUUGGAAGCAGGUGCUAAUACCGCAUAACCAUAGUUACCGCAUGGUAACUAUGUAAAAGGUGGCUAUACUACCGCUUUUGGAUGGGCCCGCGGCGCAUUAGCUAGUUGGUAGGGUAAAGGCUUACCAAGGCAAUGAUGCGUAGCCGAAUUGAGAGGUUGAUCGGCCACAUUGGGACUGAGACACGGCCCAAACUCCUACGGGAGGCAGCAGUAGGGAAUCUUCCACAAUGGGCGAAAGCCUGAUGGAGCAACGCCGCGUGGGUGAAGAAGGUCUUCGGAUCGUAAAACCCUGUUGUUAGAGAAGAAAGUGCGUGAGAGUAACUGUUCACGUUUCGACGGUAUCUAACCAGAAAGCCACGGCUAACUACGUG